rnacentral:rRNA from 1 species
GUGGGGAAUUUUGGACAAUGGGCGCAAGCCUGAUCCAGCAAUGCCGCGUGCAGGAAGAAGGCCUUCGGGUUGUAAACUGCUUUUGUACGGAACGAAACGGUCCGGGUUAAUACCCUGGGCUAAUGACGGUACCGUAAGAAUAAGCACCGGCUAACUACGUGCCAGCAGCCGCGGUAAUACAUAGGGUGCAAGCGUUAAUCGGAAUUACUGGGCGUAAAGCGUGCGCAGGCGGUUUUGUAAGACAGGCGUGAAAUCCCCGGGCUCAACCUGGGAAUUGCGCUUGUGACUGCAAGGCUGGAGUGCGGCAGAGGGGGAUGGAAUUCCGCGUGUAGCAGUGAAAUGCGUAGAUAUGCGGAAGAACACCGAUGGCGAAGGCAAUCCCCUGGGCCUGCACUGACGCUCAUGCACGAAAGCGUGGGGAGCAAACAGGAUUAGAAACCCGGGUAGUCC